CCGGCUCCGCGGUCACCCCGGAAAAUUGCCUGUGCUCCCCGGCGCAUUCACUCACCCGCUCAGCAGGGGUGAACUGCGGGCCUCCCGAGUGCCAGGCACUGGGGAUUCGGGGUGGAUACCACCUUGCCCCCCCGCUCUAGACUAGCUCCCCGGUUAGCAGGGACACUGUUACAGCAAUUACUGCACAAUGUUACAGGUGCUUUUAUGAGGUGCAUGCUGAGAUUUGUGCCCACAAGCGUAUUCUGUGCGCGUGACCUAAGACCCCACAAUUGAACUGAAUCUUGGAGGAUGGUGUCAGACAGGAACACUCUGCAAGAGACUGAUGAGGGAACAUACACAGGAAGCUGGACCUGGGAUGCAGGUGUGAGCUAUGUGGAGAAGCAAGGAAGGACGGUUGUAUGGAAGGAAGCUUCUUAUACUACAGUGCAGCUCUAAGAAAGUUCAGCAAGGCUGUGGGGGUUCCUCAAGCCACAAUGGCCUAUCCCAGGAGUCCAGCAUCUCCCAGGAAUAGACCUCUUGUACUUAGUCAUGGGCUGCGAGCAGCCGCGGCAAGAUGGCCUCUGCACCAAGCUAGCGAUAAAUAUCAGAGAAGAGAUUUCCGAUCUCAGUCUCUGGGACGGAUCCACUGGUCGGUUAUGCUCUGCACUGGAAGAUCUGAGAAGUACAUUUUCUUGGUCGCUAUAAUGGUAUUAUUCCUGUCUGACAAGAGGAAACCGUGGCUCUGUAAGGUGAGACUCAACUCUAUAUAUAGGGAGUGGUGGCUACAUGGCAGGUACACAGACUAAUAACCCCCUGAUCAUCACUCUCCUGAGGGUCAGACGGAGAUUACUGCUGCUACUGGUGAGAUGUGGAGGCUGAUGCCCUGGCAGAGAGACAAGCAGGAAGUUUCCCAGUGACCUCUCUAUACCUAAAAUCAGAAGAACAGGAACUUGAGAAGAACAAGCACCCUUGUGAAUGAAUGACUAUUGGUGCCUGCUGCAAAACUCAGUCAUUCAAGACUCAGAAAGAGAACAAACUUCCUUCACAAACUCUGAAAAAGGCUCCAGGACAAUAGACUCUGAGACAGGAGAAGCAAGAAGGGCUCUUAGGGCCCCACCUGAAAUCUAGAAUAAUGAGAUCUUCAACGGAGGUUAUUGGAUAAUCAUUGUGUACUUUUAUGUUAAAAGUAUUAAUGUGUUAAAUGUAGACAUUUAUUUUUUUUUAAGAUUUUAUUUAUUUACUUGAGAGAGAGAGUAUGAGCAGG